AACGAACGCUGGCGGCAGGCCUAACACAUGCAAGUCGAGCGAAGCCUUCGGGCUUAGCGGCGGACGGGUGAGUAACGCGUGGGAACGUGCCCUUUGGUACGGAAUAGCCCCGGGAAACUGGGAGUAAUACCGUAUGUGGUCGAGAGACGAAAGAUUUAUCGCCAAAGGAUCGGCCCGCGUUGGAUUAGGGAGUUGGUGGGGUAAUGGCCUACCAAGCCGACGAUCCAUAGCUGGUUUGAGAGGAUGAUCAGCCACACUGGGACUGAGACACGGCCCAGACUCCUACGGGAGGCAGCAGUGGGGAAUCUUAGACAAUGGGGGAAACCCUGAUCUAGCCAUGCCGCGUGAUCGAUGAAGGCCUUAGGGUUGUAAAGAUCUUUCAGUGGGGAAGAUAAUGACUGUACCCACAGAAGAAGCCCCGGCUAACUCCGUGCCAGCAGCCGCGGUAAAAC
rnacentral:rRNA from 1 species